UUAAUACUCCCUCCGUUCGGAAUUACUUGUCGUAGAAAUGGAUGUAUCUAGAUGUAUUUUAGUUCUAGAUACAUCCAUUUCCGAGACAAGUAAUUCCGAACGGAGGGAGUAUAAA
rnacentral:pre_miRNA from 1 species